rnacentral:ncRNA from 1 species
CUCUGUUCCAGAAAAAAUGGUUCAGGGCGGGAG